rnacentral:sRNA from 1 species
CUUAAAGUCUUUCAGUUUUCAGAAGUGGGCCACACAUCUGGGUCUGAGCUUCCUAGCAGCCAAAUAAAAGAGGAAACCAGCUUCAAAUGUAGUGUCUAUGUAUACUAGUUGUUCACAGUAAGUUCAGCUUCUCACUGCAUUGACACCUGGUUCUCCUUCCAGGAGGGACCUCAUCAAGGGAACUCAAGUGAUGUAGAAAGCAACAUCCUCAAUAAUAUUCUUGCAGCAAAUACAGUGGUGACAUUUGUGGAGCUGUGUCCAUAGGCCAGGGCAGUGGCUCUGAGUGUGGUCCCAGGACAAACAGCUUCAGCAUCACUUGGGAACGUGUUAGAAAUGCAGAUACUCAGGCCCCACCCCAGACCUACUCAGCAAUCUGUGUUUUAAUAAUCCCUCUGGGUGACUCUAAUGCAAGCUGAAGUUUGAGAAUCAUGGGACAAGAGUUCUCAACCCUACAGUCAAACGUUAGAAUUACCUGGAAGGCUUUCAAAGGACAUGAUGCCUGGGCCCACCCAAACCAAUUCAUGCAGGAUCCCUGUGUGCCACGCCGGCUAUGUCUAUUUCUAAAGCUCCCCAGGUAGUCGUACCGUGAAGCUAGAAGGGAGACCUACUGCUGCUUAGUUGUUUAAUGCAAACUGAUUGGCCAACAGAUGUGCCAUCUGCUCCAGGGAAAUCCAGACUGUCACUUGCAAAGCUUAUAGGAGAGGGCGCCUUCCUUCUUUCCUUCUUCCCCUCCUCCCUCCCUUUCUUACUUCCUUCUAUCUUCAGCACUGAGCACUACCAUGUAGAUGGCAGAGUCCAAAGGUGCAUUAGACACUAUAGGUUCCUGAACCUGAGGAGUCAGCACCUAAUGGGAACUUUGGAAGUAGUCUAGUGGGAAUUCCAGGCAGGCGAGGGUGUGGGUGAUGUGGACAGGAUGGUAGGGCAGCCCUCAGUCCAUCCCCCAUCCUUGUCUGAUGCUGCUUUUCUUGGCAGGUUGUGAGGGGAUGUGGGACAACAUAAGCUGCUGGCCCUCUUCUGUGCCGGGCCGGAUGGUGGAGGUGGAAUGCCCGAGAUUCCUCCGGAUGCUCACCAGCAGAAAUGGUUCCUUGUUCCGAAACUGCACACAGGAUGGCUGGUCAGAAACCUUCCCCAGGCCCAAUCUGGCCUGUGGUGUUAACGUGAACGACUCUUCCAACGAGAAGCGGGAGGCUCCACUGCACCCGCAACUACAUCCACAUGCACCUGUUCGUGUCCUUCAUCCUUCGCGCCCUGUCCAACUUCAUCAAGGACGCCGUGCUCUUCUCCUCGGAUGAUGUCACCUACUGUGAUGCCCACAGGGCGGGCUGCAAGCUGGUCAUGGUGCUGUUCCAGUACUGCAUCAUGGCCAACUACUCCUGGCUGCUGGUGGAAGGCCUCUACCUUCACACACUCCUCGCCAUCUCCUUCUUCUCCGAAAGAAAGUACCUCCAGGGAUUUGUGGCAUUCGGAUGGGGUUCUCCAGCCAUUUUUGUUGCUUUGUGGGCUAUCGCCAGACACUUUCUGGAAGAUGUUGGGUGCUGGGACAUCAAUGCCAACGCAUCCAUCUGGUGGAUCAUUCGUGGGCCUGUGAUCCUCUCCAUCCUGAUUAAUUUCAUCCUUUUUAUAAACAUUCUAAGAAUCCUGAUGAGAAAACUUAGAACCCAAGAAACAAGAGGAAAUGAAGUCAGCCAUUAUAAGCGCCUGGCAAGGUCCACUCUCCUGCUGAUCCCACUCUUUGGCAUCCACUACAUCGUCUUCGCCUUCUCCCCAGAGGACGCUAUGGAGAUCCAGCUGUUUUUUGAAUUGGCCCUUGGCUCAUUCCAGGGACUGGUGGUGGCCGUCCUCUACUGCUUCCUCAACGGGGAGGUGCAGCUGGAGGUUCAGAAGAAGUGGCAGCAAUGGCACCUCCGUGAGUUCCCACUGCACCCUGUGGCCUCCUUCAGCAACAGCACCAAGGCCAGCCACUUGGAGCAGAGCCAGGGCACCUGCAGGACCAGCAUCAUCUGAGAGGCUGGAGCAGGAUCACCCACGGACAGGGACCAAGAGAGGUCCUGAGAAGGCUGGGCAAUGCUGCGGGACAGCCAGUCUUCCCAGCAGACACCCUAUGCCCUCCUUCAGCUGAAAAUGCCCCUCCCCAGGCCUUGGACUCUUCCGAAGGGAUGUGGGGCACUGUGGGGCAGGACAAGGGCCUGGGAUUUGGUUUGUUUGCUCUUCUGGGAAGAGAAGUUCAGGGGUCCCAGAAAGGGACAGGGAAAUAAAUGGUGCCUGGGAUGAGAUUC